rnacentral:misc_RNA from 1 species
AAGUCGUAACAAGGUUUCCGUAGGUGAACCUGCGGAAGGAUCAUUAAUGAAUACAAAAGCUUUUGAAGUUGUUUUGCUGGUCUCUAGGGACAUUGUGCACGCUUCAUUAGUUUCCACUUCAUACCCCUGUGCACCUUUGAUAGAUUUCGGUUGGGUUAUCCUGGUUUUCUUAAUUGAAGGCCUUGGUUUUCCUAAACGAUUUCUAUACUAUACCACACACCAAAUGUAUGUUUAUAAUGAAUGUUUAUAAUUACAAGGCCAUGAGCCUUAUAAACUUAAUACAACUUUCAACAACGGAUCUCUUGGCUCUC